CACGAACGCUGGCGGCGUGCUUAACACAUGCAAGUCGAACGAAGUGGCGAACGGGUGAGUAACGCGUAAUCAACCUGCCCUUCAUAGGGGGAUAACAGUUGGAAACGACUGCUAAUACCGCAUACUGAAACAGGGGAUUGCGUCUGAUUAGGUAGUUGGAGGGGUAACGGCCCACCAAGGCGAUGAUCAGUAGCCGGUCUGAGGGGAAGGACGGCCCAAUUGGGACAGAGACAAGGCCCAGACUCCUAAGGGAGGCAGCAGUGGGGAAUCUUCCGCCAUGGACGAAAGUCUGACGGAGCAACGCCGCGUGAGUGAUGACGGCCUUCGGGUUGUAAAGCUCUGUUAAUCGGGACGCGGUACCGGAAUAGAAAGCACCGGCUAACUACGUGCCAGCAGCCGCGGUAAUUC
rnacentral:rRNA from 1 species